rnacentral:lncRNA from 10 species
CGGUGAUCAGAGGGCGCGGCUGACAGGGGGAGAGGGCGGUGAGAUCUACAGGAGAACUCAGGGCGGAUGUCUGAGGGGUCUGCGCUGGGCUUUCCGGUGGCUUCGCCCGGAACGCGCGCUUGUUCCUGAGGCGGUGCCUGCCUGUGUCGUCGUCCCUGUUUGUUCUUCAAACGUCAGGAUUUCUCCGUGUUUCCCAGACCGUAACGAGAAAUCCAGUUGCUUUAACUUUUCCUUUGUUUUAGUCUGUUAACAACGUUAUCGCUUUUCUUUUACUGACUUUAGAUUUAAUAUAUUCUUCCUUUUCUAGGUUCCAAAGGUGGAAACACAGAUGACAGAUUUUUGGUCUUUUCGUCAUUUCCUAUGUGUACCUCACCAGUUUGACCUGCCUCUUUUCCAAGCUCCCAGUUUGGAAUAGUUCACCAGUGAAGUCAUCUCAACCAGCACAGGGCCUUGACUCCUAACAACAAUCACACGAACUUGGAAGAGGAGCCUUCCCCACCUGAACCUUCACUUGAGACCUCGUCCUUGG